AUACGGAGGGUCCAAGCGUUAUCCGGUAUCAUUGGGUUUAAAGGGUCCGCAGGCGGUCAAUUAAGUCAGAGGUGAAAGCCCAUCGCUCAACGAUGGAACUGCCUUUGAUACUGGUUGACUUGAGUUAUACGGAAGUAGAUAGAAUAAGUAGUGUAGCGGUGAAAUGCAUAGAUAUUACUUAGAAUACCGAUUGCGAAGGCAGUCUACUACGUAUAUACUGACGCUGAGGGACGAAAGCGUGGGGAGCGAACAGGAUUAGAAACCCUAGUAGUCC
rnacentral:rRNA from 1 species